rnacentral:rRNA from 1 species
UACGGGGGGGGCAAGCGUUAAUCGGAAUUACUGGGCGUAAAGCGUGCGCAGGCGGUUCGUUGUGUCGGCGGUGAAAGCCCCGGGCUUAACCUGGGAAUGGCCGUUGAAACUGGCGAACUGGAGUGUGGCAGAGGGGGGUGGAAUUCCGCGUGUAGCAGUGAAAUGCGUAGAGAUGCGGAGGAACACCGAUGGCGAAGGCAGCCCCCUGGGCUAACACUGACGCUCAGGCACGAAAGCGUGGGGAGCAAACAGG